UCUGUAAAUUUGUAAAAAUGCUUGUUCCAUUCACAUCUGACCUUUCCAAACAAAAGGUCUGGGUGUGAGUAGGUGAUGAUACAAGAGGUAAAGCUAUACCUUCUGGGAUGGGAGUCACACUGAUUUCGUGUCCUCGGAGGGAGAAUAACAACCUGGCACCUGGCAAGGGAACACCUCAGACCCCAGGAGGUGGGGGGGAAGGAGCGGUGUAAUCAGUGCUCUUUCUGUCCUCUAGAUCCAACACUGCAGCCUGCCAAUCCAUCACCUGGUCCGCCUGAGCCCUGCAGCAGGCAAUGUGACACAUAGACCCAGCCACUCCUGAACCAUUCUGCUAUACCCGAUGCCAACAGCAGCCACGCCUGAAUGUGGGCCCCACCCAUAGACGUUUACAAACACACGGACCUGCUCAGCCUUGUGCUAAUCUGGCUGAUAACAAAAGCACACACUUCUGAUGCCAAGCAGCUCUGGGCUAUGCCAUGUAUGGCAAUUGAGGCUGCAGCUACUCAUGGCACUGCCCAUGUGGCUUAACCAAACCAGUGCAGUGGUGUUCCAAGUCAAGUUUAAUAACAAAUCCUGAACUGGAGUGUCUUGUGCCCAGUACUCUGCGUGUUUGCAUGUGGGAAAGAAUGAGUCACGAUGUCUCUCCAUUGGGCAUGAGGACCUGCUCUGGGGCCUUGUAAUUAUUGGCAGUGACACCAAAGAUCAACAGGUCAGUCUGAACUCCCUUGUGGGGUUCCUAAUGGAUAAGAGACUAGCCUUUGAUUACAUCCUGGCUGUCUGAAAUAAGCCCUGCUUGGUCACAGCUUGAUGAGUCCAGGACACUGGAUGGCAGGUUGGCCUCAUCAACAGGAGUCACUGCUACUUGGAGUCCUGCUGACAGUAGUUAAAUGCCGUAUGAGACAAACUGAAUUUGGUCCCAGCCUCAGUCAAGUUAAUCCAUCAGAGCAGCUGACAGAAUGGCAUACGCAUGUGAAAAUUCAUCAGAAGCCAAGAGAGGUGCAUUGUUUGGAAAGACAGCCCUCCACAGGGGUCUCCUGCUUCUGCGUGUCUUGCUGGGUGUUCCAAGAACGCGCAACCCUGACAGCUGUUUACCUGGGCCAUUCUCAAGGUUGGGUCUGCAGUGAGAGCACCUUGAGGGAUGAGGUGAGGCGAGCUACGUCAGUCCACAGACGUGCAGGAGCACCGGACCCCCAUGGAGGACUGUCUCUUCCAGCACUCCGCUUCUUGGUCCUAUACCCCUAAAGUUGGCAUCCAGAACUCUCUUCCUAAACUGCAGUGAUUAAGUAAAAACUUCAGGGUUGGAGUGACCCUCUGAAGCGUGUCUGCUGGUGAAAUGCUGGAGAAAAGCUGGAUGUGACCAGGUGUCUAAAUCCUGACUGAAGGGAUGUGUGCUGCCUCCCGGUCGGGUCCUUAAAAGGAAGUGGUGUGCCCUCCACUUGCCCUUUUCCUUCCUGAGAACCCGAUGGUGGGGGCCAGCCUCCCCACAGGCCCAGGGGCGACAUCCUGGAGGAAUGCAGAGCACCCAGGCAGAGGGAGCCCGGUCCCUGGAUGGUCUUGCAGAGUCACCACUCACCUGCUCUGGACUCCCACCAGCUCAGGUUUUCGUGGGAGAGAAAAGUGAAGCUCUCUUGUUAAGCCUCUGUCUUCAGAGUCUCUGAAAGCUGCCA